GCCCGGUUAGCUCAAUCGGUAGAGCGUGAGACUCUUAAUCUCAAGGUUGCGGGUAUGCUAUUCACUCGCCA